UACGUAGGGUGCAAGCGUUGUCCGGAAUUACUGGGCGUAAAGGGCGCGUAGGCGGCCUGUUAAGUCGAACGUGAAAUCCCCGGGCUCAACCCGGGAACUGCGUCCGAUACUGGCAGGCUUGAAUCCGGGAGAGGGAUGCGGAAUUCCAGGUGUAGCGGUGAAAUGCGUAGAUAUCUGGAGGAACACCGGUGGCGAAGGCGGCAUCCUGGACCGGUAUUGACGCUGAGGCGCGAAAGCCAGGGGAGCAAACGGG
rnacentral:rRNA from 1 species